rfam:Cupriavidus sp. SK-3 Scaffold63, whole genome shotgun sequence.
UGUCUCCUCCACCACCUCGGUGGAUUCCAGCCCGCGCACGAAACUGCGCGGGUUUUUUUUG